AGUGCGCUGUGGUCAAACGCAGCUUCAUGGAGCAAUCCAUGUUGAAAAACGAGGUGAAUUGCUGGAACCCCUCACUCGCUUCAGCGAACGGGCAAUCAGCAGCCAAGCUUGAUGAGUAAUCAUCUUGAAGGUUCAGAGACUAUCCCUUACGGGAGUAGGGCGAGCAACUUAAACGGUUCUCGCUCGAAGCGCCUCGCAUCCCGUGAGAUAGAGCUUGCGAAAAGCUCACUAUCUCAUGGGAUGAUGAUAUAGUCCACCCCUCUUAGAAAUAAAAGG
rnacentral:ncRNA from 1 species